rnacentral:rRNA from 1 species
GACGAACGCUGGCGGCGUGCCUAAUACAUGCAAGUCGAGCGAAUCUUGAGGAGCUUGCUCCUUAAGAUUAGCGGCGGACGGGUGAGUAACACGUGGGCAACCUGCCUGUAAGACUGGGAUAACACCGGGAAACCGGUGCUAAUACCGGAUAAUUCUUCACCUCUCAUGAGGUGAAGCUGAAAGUCGGUUUCGGCUGACACUUACAGAUGGGCCCGCGGCGCAUUAGUUAGUUGGUGAGGUAACGGCUCACCAAGGCGACGAUGCGUAGCCGACCUGAGAGGGUGAUCGGCCACACUGGGACUGAGACACGGCCCAGACUCCUACGGGAGGCAGCAGUAGGGAAUCUUCCGCAAUGGACGAAAGUCUGACGGAGCAACGCCGCGUGAGUGAUGAAGGCCUUCGGGUCGUAAAACUCUGUUGUUAGGGAAGAACAAGUACCGGAGUAACUGCCGGUACCUUGACGGUACCUAACCAGAAAGCCACGGCUAACUACGUGCCAGCCGCCGCUGUAAAAC